rnacentral:rRNA from 1 species
GAUGAACGCUAGCGGGAGGCUUAAUACAUGCAAGUUGAGCGGUAACCGGCUUAUAGCAAUAUAAGUUGGCUAGAGCGGCGCACGGGUGAGUAACGCGUACAUAACCUACCCUAUACAGGGGGAUAGCCUUGGGAAACUGAGAUUAAUACCCCAUAGCAUUGCGGGAUCGCCUGAUUCUGCAAUUAAAGUUGCGGCGGUAUAGGAUGGGUGUGCGUCUGAUUAGAUAGUUGGUAGGGUAACGGCCUACCAAGGCGAUGAUCAGGAGGGGGCGUGAGAGCGUGGACCCCAACACGGGUACUGAGACACGGACCCGACUCCUACGGGAGGCAGCAGUAAGGAAUAUUGGUCAAUGGAGGAAACUCUGAACCAGCCAUCCCGCGUGAAGGAUGAAGGGGCUCUGCCUUGUAAACUUCUUUGUCUGGGGCGAAAAAGCUCGAUUUAUCGAGAACUGACGGUACCAGAAGAAUAAGCACCGGCUAACUCCGUGCCAGCAGCCGCGGUAAUAC